UACGUAGGGUGCAAGCGUUAAUCGGAAUUACUGGGCGUAAAGCGUGCGCAGGCGGUUGUGCAAGACAGAUGUGAAAUCCCCGGGCUCAACCUGGGAACUGCAUUUGUGACUGCACGGCUGGAGUGCGGCAGAGGGGGAUGGAAUUCCGCGUGUAGCAGUGAAAUGCGUAGAGAUGCGGCGGAACACCGAUGGCGAAGGCAGUUCUCUGGGACGGUACUGACGCUGAGACGCGAAAGCGUGGGGAGCGAACAGG
rnacentral:rRNA from 1 species